GGUUAAGCGACUAAGCGUACACGGUGGAUGCCCUGGCAGUCAGAGGCGAUGAAGGACGUGCUAAUCUGCGAUAAGCGUCGGUAAGGUGAUAUGAACCGUUAUAACCGGCGAUUUCCGAAUGGGGAAACCCAGUGUGUUUCGACACACUAUCAUUAACUGAAUCCAUAGGUUAAUGAGGCGAACCGGGGAACUGAAACAUCUAAGUACCCCGAGGAAAAGAAAUCAACCGAGAUUCCCCAGUAGCGGCGAGCGAACGGGGAGCAGCCCAGAGCCUGAAUCAGUGUGUGUGUUAGUGGAAGCGUCUGGAAAGGCGCGCGAUACAGGGUGACAGCCCCGUACACAAAAAAAUGCACAUACUGUGAGCUCGAUGAGUAGGGCGGGACACGUGGUAUCCUGUCUGAAUAUGGGGACCAUCCUCCAAGGCUAAAUACUCCUGACUGACCGAUAGUGAACCAGUACCGUGAGGGAAAGGCGAAAAGAACCCCGGCGAGGGGAGUGAAAAAGAACCUGAAACCGUGUACGUACAAGCAGUGGGAGCCUCUUAAUGGGGUGACUGCGUACCUUUGUAUAAUGGGUCAGCGACUUAUAUUCUGUAGCAAGGUUAACCGAAUAGGGGAGCCGAAGGGAAACCGAGUCUUAACUGGGCGUUAAGUUGCAGGGUAUAGACCCGAAACCCGGUGAUCUAGCCAUGGGCAGGUUGAAGGUUGGGUAACACUAACUGGAGGACCGAACCGACUAAUGUUGAAAAAUUAGCGGAUGACUUGUGGCUGGGGUGAAAGGCCAAUCAAACCGGGAGAUAGCUGGUUCUCCCCGAAAGCUAUUUAGGUAGCGCCUCGUGAAUUCAUCUCCGGGGUAGAGCACUGUUUCGGCAAGGGGUCAUCCCGACUUACCAACCCGAUGCAAACUGCGAAUACCGGAGAAUGUUAUCACGGGAGACACACGGCGGGUGCUAACGUCCGUCGUGAAGAGGGAAACAACCCAGACCGCCAGCUAAGGUCCCAAAGUCAUGGUUAAGUGGGAAACGAUGUGGGAAGGCCCAGACAGCCAGGAUGUUGGCUUAGAAGCAGCCAUCAUUUAAAGAAAGCGUAAUAGCUCACUGGUCGAGUCGGCCUGCGCGGAAGAUGUAACGGGGCUAAACCAUGCACCGAAGCUGCGGCAGCGACACUAUGUGUUGUUGGGUAGGGGAGCGUUCUGUAAGCCUGUGAAGGUGUACUGUGAGGUAUGCUGGAGGUAUCAGAAGUGCGAAUGCUGACAUAAGUAACGAUAAAGCGGGUGAAAAGCCCGCUCGCCGGAAGACCAAGGGUUCCUGUCCAACGUUAAUCGGGGCAGGGUGAGUCGACCCCUAAGGCGAGGCCGAAAGGCGUAGUCGAUGGGAAACAGGUUAAUAUUCCUGUACUUGGUGUUACUGCGAAGGGGGACGGAGAAGGCUAUGUUGGCCGGGCGACGGUUGUCCCGGUUUAAGCGUGUAGGCUGGUUUUCCAGGCAAAUCCGGAAAAUCAAGGCUGAGGCGUGAUGACGAGGCACUACGGUGCUGAAGCAACAAAUGCCCUGCUUCCAGGAAAAGCCUCUAAGCAUCAGGUAACAUCAAAUCGUACCCCAAACCGACACAGGUGGUCAGGUAGAGAAUACCAAGGCGCUUGAGAGAACUCGGGUGAAGGAACUAGGCAAAAUGGUGCCGUAACUUCGGGAGAAGGCACGCUGAUAUGUAGGUGAAGUCCCUUGCGGAUGGAGCUGAAAUCAGUCGAAGAUACCAGCUGGCUGCAACUGUUUAUUAAAAACACAGCACUGUGCAAACACGAAAGUGGACGUAUACGGUGUGACGCCUGCCCGGUGCCGGAAGGUUAAUUGAUGGGGUUAGCGGUAACGCGAAGCUCUUGAUCGAAGCCCCGGUAAACGGCGGCCGUAACUAUAACGGUCCUAAGGUAGCGAAAUUCCUUGUCGGGUAAGUUCCGACCUGCACGAAUGGCGUAAUGAUGGCCAGGCUGUCUCCACCCGAGACUCAGUGAAAUUGAACUCGCUGUGAAGAUGCAGUGUACCCGCGGCAAGACGGAAAGACCCCGUGAACCUUUACUAUAGCUUGACACUGAACAUUGAGCCUUGAUGUGUAGGAUAGGUGGGAGGCUUUGAAGUGUGGACGCCAGUCUGCAUGGAGCCGGCCUUGAAAUACCACCCUUUAAUGUUUGAUGUUCUAACGUUGGCCCCUUACCGGGGUUGCGGACAGUGUCUGGUGGGUAGUUUGACUGGGGCGGUCUCCUCCUAAAGAGUAACGGAGGAGCACGAAGGUUGGCUAAUCCUGGUCGGACAUCAGGAGGUUAGUGCAAUGGCAUAAGCCAGCUUGACUGCGAGCGUGACGGCGCGAGCAGGUGCGAAAGCAGGUCAUAGUGAUCCGGUGGUUCUGAAUGGAAGGGCCAUCGCUCAACGGAUAAAAGGUACUCCGGGGAUAACAGGCUGAUACCGCCCAAGAGUUCAUAUCGACGGCGGUGUUUGGCACCUCGAUGUCGGCUCAUCACAUCCUGGGGCUGAAGUAGGUCCCAAGGGUAUGGCUGUUCGCCAUUUAAAGUGGUACGCGAGCUGGGUUUAGAACGUCGUGAGACAGUUCGGUCCCUAUCUGCCGUGGGCGCUGGAGAACUGAGGGGGCUGCUCCUAGUACGAGAGGACCGGAGUGGACGCAUCACUGGUGUUCGGGUUGUCAUGCCAAUGGCACUGCCCGGUAGCUAAAUGCGGAAGAGAUAAGUGCUGAAAGCAUCUAAGCACGAAACUUGCCCCGAGAUGAGUUCUCCUGACUCCUUGAGAGUCCUGAAGGAACGUUGAAGACGACGACGUUGAUAGGCCGGGUGUGUAAGCGCAGCGAUGCGUUGAGCUAACCGGUACUAAUGAACCGUGAGGCUUAACCUU
rnacentral:rRNA from 1 species